rnacentral:lncRNA from 1 species
CUUAAUAAUCGUGGCAAAGGUACUGCCACCGCUGUCCGGCUGGCUUCCACGGGUGGCACCCUCACAAUGUAAAGCCCCACGAUCGACACGCCCCGGUCUACGUUCGGUCGUCCAAUCACGAAAGCAGCAUGGCGCUUUUGAAACCUGGUUAGGUGUACACCGGACUACCGUGCACAGUACCUGCCUGUUUUACCUUGGGCAUUUACCUUUGUAACAGAGUCUGAAACGCGGGAAAAAGGCACAACACACCAAAACACCGCGUCUCUCUCAUACACCCUCGGAUACAGAUAUCAUCGAACGCGUUUGCGCCACCGCUGAACGAAAAAAAGAAAGGAUAAUAAGAAAAAAUAAAAAAAAAUAAUAAAAAUAAAAAAAAAAGAAUGGAAUAAAAAGGAACCACUAACUAACCAGCGGUAAUCUUCGCGCUGAUCAACCUUAGGAUUUGUCAUUGAUUGAAUGGGGUUUUCUCAAAGUUCGCCAAACUGACAUUUUGCCGCCGUGAAUCCAUGAACCGCAGAGUACCAGAUUUGAAAAUAUCACUUUUUCGCAUCACCGAGUCAAUCCUCCGAUUCGUCGAUCGAUUACAUUUUUCAGCUGCAGAUCAGACGGACGAUAUGUGUACGUACGGAACCUAUACGGUGUGGGCUGGCGGAAUUAUCUUGCUUCGCAAAGUGUCUAUACGUGUCUCUACAAUUCGAUAUUGGAUGUCUAUUGGCUAUUUAUAAUGUAUAGGCUAUUCGAUCUGUACGUAGAUGUACAGUACGCCCCGCUACACUUUCCGCAGUCCACACACAGCUAGUGAUGGCUGCAGCAGGUUGUGCACAGCACAAGCGACAUCAACUGUGCAUAUCUUAUAAUUAUUGCAUGCUAUGAAUAAUUAACAACAUGUACAUACAUAUAUGUAUAGUAUGUAUUCUCCACUCUACCUAUAGGGGUUCUCAAACUUUCGAAUAAAAUCUAUU